rnacentral:rRNA from 1 species
CCUACGGGUGGCAGCAGUGAGGAAUAUUGGUCAAUGGACGAGAGUCUGAACCAGCCAAGUAGCGUGAAGGAUGACUGCCCUAUGGGUUGUAAACUUCUUUUAUAAAGGAAUAAAACGAGGCACGUGUGCCUUUUUGCAUGUACUUUAUGAAUAAGGAUCGGCUAACUCCGUGCCAGCAGCCGCGGUAAUACGGAGGAUCCGAGCGUUAUCCGGAUUUAUUGGGUUUAAAGGGUGCGUAGGCGGGCUGUUAAGUCAGCGGUCAAAUGUCGGGGCUCAACCCCGGCCUGCCGUUGAAACUGUGUCCCUUGAGUGCGCGAAGGGUAGGCGGAAUGCGUGGUGUAGCGGUGAAAUGCAUAGAUAUCACGCAGAACUCCGAUCGCGAAGGCAGCCUACCGGCGCGCAACUGACGCUCAUGCACGAAAGCGUGGGUAUCGAACAGGAUUAGAUACCCGAGUAGUC